GAAAUGCGAUAAGUAAUGUGAAUUGCAGAAUUCAGUGAAUCAUCGAAUCUUUGAACGCACAUUGCGCCCCCUGGUAUUCCGGGGGGCAUGCCUGUUCGAGCGUCAUUUCACCACUCAAGCCUCGCUUGGUAUUGGGUAACGCGGUCCGCCGCGUGCCUCAAAUCGACCGGCUGGGUCUUCUGUCCCCUAAGCGUUGUGGAAACUAUUCGCUAAAGGGUGUUCGGGAGGCUACGCCGUAAAACAACCCCAUUUCUAAGGUUGACCUCGGAUCAGGUAGGGAUACCCGCUGAACUUAAGC
rnacentral:misc_RNA from 1 species